AUUGAACGCUGGCGGCAUGCCUUACACAUGCAAGUCGAACGGUAACGGGCCUUCGGGUGCCGCCGAGUGGCGAACGGGUGAGUAAUACAUCGGAACGUGCCCGAUCGUGGGGGAUAACGAGGCGAAAGCUUUGCUAAUACCGCAUACGAUAUACGGAUGAAAGCAGGGGACCGCAAGGCCUUGCGCGGACUGCGCGGCCGAUUGCAGAUUAGGUAGUUGGUGGGAUAAAAGCUUACCAAGCCACGAUCUGUAGCUGGUCUGAGAGGAUGAUCAGCCACACUGGGACUGAGACACGGCCCAGACUCCUACGGGAGGCAGCAGUGGGGAAUUUUGGACAAUGGGCGCAAGCCUGAUCCAGCCAUGCCGCGUGCAGGAUGAAGGCCUUCGGGUUGUAAACUGCUUUUGUACGGAACGAAAAGCCUUCUUUUAAUACAGGAGGGUCAUGACGGUACCGUAAGAAUAAGCACCGGCUAACUACGUG
rnacentral:rRNA from 1 species